UUGGACCAAGAUCGAGUCUUUAUCAAGUGAAUAAAUAAAGUGAAAUGCAACGCAUUGUAUGAAUCCAGUAGUAAUUAUCAUAAUUCGGAUUCACCAAUUAGUGUAAAUUCUUUCUGUGGUGUUUGGUUUUUUCAUAUAAAUUUUCUUGCUGUUGUUUUGAUAUGACGUUUCAACUCAAUCCACGCAAAUCAUUUCAUUACCCUUCUUUCAGUGUA
rnacentral:lncRNA from 1 species